AAAAAAAAUAUACGCCAAGUGCAUAAAAAAGAAUCAAUGCUGUAUAUGCAGUAGCGCUACGUGGUAGAUAUAAUUCCGCUGUUACAUAUUGGAGGACGCUGACACGCUCUUCUCCGUAUUAUUCCUGGCAUGACUGAAUCACUAGCAGCUGGCUCGAGACGAAGCCAAAAUAGUCAACUACCUCGGCCAGCUUUCUUCGAAAUUACUGUGCUGACGAAGCAUCAAACGUAGGUGGCGAUUUAGAAUCAAAGAUAAAAUAAAUAUGGACCAUAGAAAAGAAUUUCUUCUUGAUGAGUCAGAUGUUUAUUUGUUCUCUUGGAAAGUACUGUCGUUCCUUCAAGGUUGUUCAAAAUUCAUUGAGAAUUACAUAUAUUUUUUUAAUGCACAUUGUUUGUGAAUCAUGUUCAGGAUACGAAGAAUAGACCAUGCAGUUUUUAGGAUAUCUCUUCAUUUCCAAAUAAAUUUAAGAUAGUUAAAAAUAUAAAUUAAAGUUUUCUGAAAUA